GAUGAACGCUGGCGGCGUGCCUAAUACAUGCAAGUCGAGCGAACGGACGAGAAGCUUGCUUCUCUGAUGUUAGCGGCGGACGGGUGAGUAACACGUGGAUAACCUACCUAUAAGACUGGGAUAACUUCGGGAAACCGGAGCUAUAUCGGGCAAUAUUUUUUACCGCAUGAUUCGAAAGUGUAAGACGGUCUUGCGGUCACUUAUAGAUGGAUCCGCGCUGCAUUAGCUAGUUGGUAAGGUAACGGCCUACCAAGGCAACGAUGCAUAGCCGACCUGAGAGGGUGAUCGGCCACACUGGAACUGAGACACGGUCCAGACUCCUACGGGAGGCAGCAGUAGGGAAUCUUCCGCAAUGGGCGAAAGCCUGACGGAGCAACGCCGCGUGAGUGAUGAAGGUCUUCGGAUUGUAAAACUCUGUUAUUAGGGAAGAACAGAUGUGUAAGUAACUGUGCACAUCUUGACGGUACCGAAUCAAAAAGCCACGGCUAACUACGUG
rnacentral:rRNA from 1 species